UACGUAGGGGGCAAGCGUUGUCCGGAUUUAUUGGGCGUAAAGAGCGUGUAGGCGGCCAGAUAGGUCCGUUGUGAAAACUGGAGGCUCAACCUUCAGAGGUCGACCGAAACCAUCUGGCUAGAGUCCGGGAGAGGAGAGUGGAAUUCCUGGUGUAGCGGUGAAAUGCGCAGAUAUCAGGAAGAACACCCGUGGCGAAAGCGGCUCUCUGGAACGGUACUGACGCUGAGACGCGAAAGCGUGGGGAGCGAACAGG
rnacentral:rRNA from 1 species